CUAUCCGUUUUCUGCAGUUUCUUCUUUCGACGAUCUUAUAAACGGAGAUAUAUCGUCUAGAUGACGUUUUAAGAAAAUAAGACGAACUUUCGAUGUCCUUCCAACGCAAGACUGAAUUAUUUUUGGCCGCGACUUAUCAAACGUAUUAAGCUUUCACUAGCGAAAGAAUCAUUCCGUGUACAUAUAAAAUCCUUCUAGGAAAUUCUCACAAACAGACCUAUACCCUCGACGUGCAUUAAAUUCCACCAUCGUCAAAGAUAACUCUCUGAAUCGUCCACUAACUAAACACAUCCAAAGAUGUUGGUUAAGAGGCUUCGAUCUAGCUCACAAAGGAUCUGGAAAUUCAUUUGUAUCGCGGCGUGCGCUGCUGUACACGGUUCGUUUGGUAUUCUCGGCCUAAUGGAUCGCGAGCACUCGCGGCGAACGAAGUUGUCAGCGGCGUUGCAAGCGACGCCGUGGUCUCGUCGCCGCUUCAAAGUGAUCGCAGAACGCGCGGCCUGUUCUCCUAGGAAGGGCCCCGCGUGCCCGCUACACACCGGCGAGCACCGAUAACUCAUCGAGACCUCUGCCCUUACAACGAGCCAUCACCGUGAGAGGCGCGUCCAGGCCCCAACACGGGAUGAUUAAUGAACGACCGCGAAAUGUACUCGGAUUAGCGUCGUCCGGCGUGCCGGAGCUUGUUUCUGCGCGCAACUUGUAACAAAGAUUCUUUUCAUCAGUCAUCCAGAUAUUUCUGGGCCGUUUAAUGGACCGGACACGCUGCAGGAAAUGUACCGGCCGCUUGUAGGGGAUCGUUGCGAACGAUGCUCGCUUCUGGCGGACUAAUAACGAUAGGGGGCAUCUUUGCGUGGCGCUGCUUUCGUGUUCGUCGACCUGCUCACGGGACCACGAGUUAGCAAGUGGAAGUCGAAAAGUUGGACCUUUUGUCGUUGGAAAUAGUUAUCGGAGAAAAGGAUAAGGCAGACGAAAUGCAGCAGAUAUUGCUCAGCUAUAUAUACAAUGUGUCGACGUUGCGUAAUAGAGCGACAUGGAUACAGAUUUAUAUUUGGUAGCUUCUUAGAAGCUAACGCGAGUUUGGUUGACGCCUAAGAGGGCCUGUCGUCGACCUAUAAGGGUGGUAUUUGACCACGAUGCCACGUAAGCCACGACCGCGACGACCCCUGUCCUCGAGGAUUUGCCGCGAAAACCCUUCUCGGUUUCGGAGGUGAUCAGUCACUGGUGCCACCCUCCGAUCCGGCUCCAGAGUAAACAAACUUACCGAGUAGGCUUGACCGUGGGGCGAAGGUGGCGAGGAUCGCAAACGACGUGUCGAAGCUUUGACGAAUACGAUACGGAAACACGUUUUCGUUUCGAGGGUAGUGGUAAACAUUUGGAAGAUAUUCAUGCCGAUAUUACUACUUCUACACAGGGAAGAGAUCGAGUAGAAGAGGAAGAAGCUGGAGAGGAAUUUUAUUUCCAUUUUCUAUCACGAUUGUAGGUAUAAACAUCGCGAAACACACACGUUCCCCAAGAGCUCUCGAUAUACCUAUUUCACUUUGAAUCUCCAGAUCCAAGCACGUCUAUCGUAUUUAUAGUAUUCCACGGCGUGUAGCUUGCGUGUAGCUUCGUCACGGACUAUGACGAACGAUCCGAGUUUAUCACAGUCGUACGGCCAGCGAAUGGGCUAAUUUUUAAUCGAGCAAGACCGCGGCCGAAAGGAAGAGAGAGAAAGUUCUCGAGGAGAGACGUUCUUCUUUGGAAGCUGGGAAGAGGAAAGGAACGCGCGGGGAGCAACCGAUACCGCCACUUAAUGCCGCGGCUCGAAAUUAAUUAAACUUUUGCGUUCGUUCCCGGGACCGACGGCCAAGAGGAUGAGAGGGGGCGAUGGUGGAAAUAAAACGUUGAUGACACGGCAAGCCCGGUUCCGCAAAGCCCGACCCUGCCUCGACACCGUCGCUCCUUAAUGGGAAAAAGCUGGGCGCCAACGAGCGGAGAACAAGGGUGGUAAACACGCGCCAUCGCGGUACGAAGAGGGGUUUGCAUCACCGAGCCUUUUUCCCCAAAUAUCGAAUGUUGGAAAAUUUGCCUGAAAUUGGAACACUCCUUCUUCGCUCGUAUAAUCGUCGCUGGCGUAGAAGCUUCGAUGAGAGCAAGACGACGACUAAAGAAAAUGAUUGCACGAUUAACUCCAUACAGUCGUUUAUCACUUAUCGCAUAUUCCAAUUUUAGCAAGAUUUGACUAAUCGCAUUACAAUGUGAUUACGGUAGAUAUGGCUUUUGACGAUGUUAUAGCGUAGUGGAACAGGUAGAAGUUUGUUAAAAUAGAAAUAUACAAUAUAUAAGUGAAAUUUAUGAAAUGCUAGAUUUAAUUCCAUGCUGACUUGAAGACGUUCCCUUGUAUAACAGGAAAGACUAAUUUGAUUCAACCGAUAGAUAGGCGAAAAAGGUUGUACAAAGAAUAGGGACCGCUACUUUCCGGGAGAAUGGGCUUGCUAACGAGGCCGCUAUCUUCCAAUUGCAAUUGCUGUUGUUCACUGUCAAGUAGAAUCCAUGUAAACGUCAUGUAUGAAGUAACUCGGAAUACUCGCGGGUAUAUCAUUAAACUGAAAAUGAAACUGACGUUUCGUUAACAUCGUUCCCGGCUCGCUCAAGUUCUAGAUGAAUAUUUUCCAAAGCGCAUAUUGCGCGUUUAAACUGCUUCGUAUAAAAAUUAUAAAGAAAGUCAGGAUACGAAAUGAUUGGAUAUAAAAAGUUCACGAGAAAGUGUCUUCAUUUCGAUCUUGUUAAGAGCGUACAAUAAAAAGAUCCGUGUUAAGACCUUACUUUUGCGAGGCGUGGCCCAUUCAAUUAAUGUCCAUGGAACAAGCGUGCUCAUUACCGGCCCUCCGCACCUCUAUAAUUAUCGGUACAUCGCUCAGAGUACAGAAGCGGACCGGUUCGCAAGGCCUUUCCGGUUAUUUAAUCGCGUGCGCGCCAGUCACACGCCGCUUCAAAGCGAUGUAUAUUUAUAGGUUCGUUAGUCGGAGGAAAGGAAAUGAAAGAACCAGCGAAAAGCUGCGAGAUCUCCUAGAACCGACGCUGCUCUUUUUCCCUUUCCGUGAACCGCGUCUCUGAUUCCCUUGCAGAAUGUCGUCGAUCAAACGAAACCGCACGUUUACCGGCCACUUCCGUUCGGAGAAGCCAGACCAAGGUUGUAUUCUGAGCACGUGCUAUGCAUGACAGAUAGCUUUCGGCAACUAUCGCAGGUAAUCGCCAUGGUAUCGAGAAAUUGUUCGUGGUUUUAUUUUGGGCCGACAUUUUGAUAGUGAUUACUCUCAUUAGAUGAAAAUGCUGUGAACGCUAACGAUUUUAGAUACACUGCCGACUGCGCCGCUAAUGAAAUCUGGAUAUAGCCAGAAGCACAAUUUCUUUAGACCAAGAGCACCCAAGUUCCUUUAGCUCCAGAUUCGAUUCGAGUACAAAUCAAGAUCGGAACUCUUAAAUCUCGCAGGAAUGGGAACGAAGCAGCAAGGUUCUUUCUUCGGUUUUGAUUGGACCGCCGCCGUAAAAGCGGUCCAACAGGGGUACGUAAAAUGAUCAACCGGCAGGGGAAAGUUUUCUUUUGGUUGUUGAAAGGAGGCGAUGGUACAGCGUGGCGCCACCUUGGCGGCGGUAGCGGCUAACAACCGUGUAAAAAGCGACGAAAUCGAGAGUGUCGGUGGGCCUGGCAAGGAGACACGAUCGGGAGAGGGAUGUGGAAAGAGGCAACAUCCUAUAAAACAAUUGACGCGCGCGGGGAAUCAAGGAGUUACUCGAUAAACCUGUUUUCUACUCCACCAGCCACCAUCGAAAUCCUUCUUCUACCAAGCUACUCCAAGAACUGAAUGAAAGGACCUCCGUCACGAAACUUCGUUUCCGAGCUCAAUGCUUUCUGUACAAGGACACCGAGGAACUCUAUGUUCUCCGUGGAAAUUAAUAAAAUAAAUCCAACCAAAGGGACUCGGUGGUGGAUCACGGGGAAUGGAAAAUACGAUGCUUAUUGGGCGAAAUAAGGGGGAUAAAGGUAACCGCAAUGGCAGCCGGGAGAUACGUGUCGUUACAAAGGAGUCGUCUCUCGGAGGAGUCGGAUCUCAUAAACUCAGCCAGCUCGUUGCGAUUUCUCCGGUGAUUCAGUCGGCCGGGGGCAAACACAAUCGCGUCGAGCAAUUUUUGCCACGGUUUGACGGCUCCUCUUUUCGCUUCCCUCGUGGCUUCCGCGCUGGCGCGUCCUUAUUCUCUAAAUUGUUCCCAUUCGAGGAUGAGCCGGUGGUUCGUCCCUGAAAGGCUCGUUCGCGCUUAUAAAUCUCAGCCCGGAGCGGUGACGUCGUGGAGGAAGAAGAGACGUACGUAUGGAAGAGAGAGAGAGAGAGAGAGAGAGAGAGAGAGAGAAAGAGAGAGAGAGAGAGA